CCUAAAUUAAAAUCUCCACAAGCGGAGGUCAAUUAUAGUGUUCUAGUUUACAUAUUAUCAUUAAUGAUAAGGUUAAUUCAAAGAGCGUAGUAAACUGGAUAAACACGGGAAUAGAACUUAUGGUGUGUUCUGCACAUGCGUAUAUCUAGGAUAAAAUCCCACAAGCGCAAACGAAACUAUUUCUCUAUAAAGUUGAGCAGAAAGGACUCACAGUGACCGUUUUGGCAGUGCUUCAGGUAGUGAUGGGCGAUACCAGCUUUUUUGGUUUCGAUAUGAUACCAGUCCGAUACCAUGAGUUUUGGUCGAUACCGAUACCAAAAUCGAUACCGAUACUCAAUUUUUUCCAUCUAUUAAAAUAACUUUUAAAACAAGAACAUUAAUGUUUAAAACAAGUCAAAGAAUACUCUAACUGGAGUACCUGCCAAAUAAUCGAACAUAACAUUUGCAAGUGUGAUUUUAAAUCUAAACACCAAUGUUUUCAACAAAUAUAUUGCUAAUUAGCUACAUGUUUUUGUUAUCAUGUCAACAUUUUU